CACAAACCCAGACGUCACCUGUUGCUGUCAAGGUGCACAGGUGGACAGAAACCACAGAUCUCGUUGAAUCUAAGGACAGUGACACCCAUGUGCAAGAGUUUCCUGCAACAUGACGGCACAUUUGUGGAUCGCUCCACUAGCUCUACUGCUGUGCGAGAGCCGUAUUACAGAAGGUGCAUUGAGCGCUGGUGCACCAAUAGGUUGAAGACAAACCCAGGAAGAUUAUUCCAUGUUUCUAAAGAGAACAGGUGACGCUGCCAGCCCUGGCCACCUGCGGGAGCCGCCGCCUCAGCCAUGGCUGUCUGGGAUAUGAAGAGACCCGAUCAAGUUCCCCUGCUGCUUUAGUGAGGCCACUUCCCAGUCAACACAGGCAGAGCAGCUCCCUUGGCCGAGGGUCUCCAGGGAGAUGCAGUCAGAGAUCCAACAUUCAACUACACGGCCACUCAGUUCACUCAACAGCAGCAGUUGCAGCCCCAUUCAGUCAACAGCAGCAACAAGCAGUUGAGUCAGCAACCAUGGCCAGAGGGAGGUAUGAUUCUAGUCCCCGUGAGUUUGACGGGAGCCAACCUUCAAGGGGUGCCAGGGUGUCUUACAGCUGAUGAUUCCUUCUGCCAGAGGCAACUGCCCAGCGCAAGUGGGAACCAGUGCCAUUUUUUUUGAAGAGGAAAUCUCUCCUGUUGCCGCAGUGAAGUGAACGAGUGUCGCAUACGUCUGCACAUUUUACUUGCAAGCAUUUCGGGAGAUAAGAUCCCUCGCCGCCCAUGUGGAGGAGUGCCCGUGCUCGCAGCCAUAUCAGUGUCACUUGUGCUCUAGUCAUUGCUCAGACUGGAACAGGACGCAGAUCCAUCUCGGGGAAUAGGCAACAACGUGCCCUUUUUGCCAGCAUACAAUUGACACAAGGACCUGGGAGACGAUGCCACGCAUAAAGCGGCACGUGGCUGUCGAGCAAUUCAUGUGCAGCGUCUUCCAAUCAUUCAUGAAUGGGUAUAAUCUUGUUGCGCACGUUCGCUAGCGCCACCUGGUGCAAAAUUUAUACAAAAUUUAUACAAGUGCGGCUGGUAUCCAAAGUCAUGUUUUAUAAGAAAAGUCUGUGAAUUCAUGUUUGUUCGACUCACUGGUGAUCAGCUUGGCUGCUUGGGUAGCUUUGAGGGCAAAGCGACAUUCCGAUGGCACAUGUGGUAUCAUGAUUGUUGAGAAACAGCAGUGUACAAGUGUCCUGUGUCCUCACAUGAGCUUGUGAAUGAGUGGAGCCAAU
rnacentral:lncRNA from 1 species